AAUCAACGCUGGCGGCGUGCCUCAGACAUGCAAGUCGAACGGUUAAGACUCCCUUCGGGGAGUGUAUAAAGUGGCGUACGGGUGAGUAACACGUAAGUAAUCUACCUUCGAGUGGGGAAUAACAUCGGGAAACCGAUGCUAAUACCGCAUAAUGCAGCGGCAUCGAAAGAUGACAGUUGUUAAAGGAGCAAUUCGCUUGAAGAGGAGCUUACGGCAGAUUAGCUAGUUGGUAAGGUAAUGGCUUACCAAGGCUACGAUCUGUAUCCGGUCUAAGAGGACGGUCGGACACACUGACACUGAAUAACGGGUCAGACUCCUACGGGAGGCAGCAGUCGGGAAUUUUGGGCAAUGGGCGAAAGCCUGACCCAGCAACGCCGCGUGAAGGAUGAAGUUCUUCGGAAUGUAAACUUCGAAAGAAUGGGAAGAAUAAAUGACGGUACCAUUUAUAAGGUCCGGCUAACUACGUGCCAGCCGCCGCAGUAACAC
rnacentral:rRNA from 1 species